AACGAACGCUGGCGGCAUGGAUUAGGCAUGCAAGUCGAACGGUAGCAGGCCUUCGGGCGCUGACGAGUGGCGGACGGGUGAGUAACGCGUAGGAAUCUGCCUGGUAGUGGGGGACAACUUAGGGAAACUUAAGCUAAUACCGCAUACGCUCCUUGUUGCAAGAUGGGGAGGAAAGCGGGGGAUCUUCGGACCUCGCGCUAUCAGAUGAGCCUGCGUUAGAUUAGCUAGUUGGUGGGGUAAAGGCCUACCAAGGCGACGAUCUAUAGCUGGUCUGAGAGGACGAUCAGCCACACUGGGACUGAGACACGGCCCAGACUCCUACGGGAGGCAG
rnacentral:rRNA from 1 species